UACAGAGGUCUCAAGCGUUGUUCGGAUUCAUUGGGCGUAAAGGGUGCGUAGGUGGCGCGCUAAGUCAGGUGUGAAAUUUCGGAGCUUAACUCCGAAACUGCAUUUGAUACUGGUGUGCUUGAGGACUGGAGAGGAGACUGGAAUUCAUGGUGUAGCAGUGAAAUGCGUAGAGAUCAUGAGGAAGGCCAGUGGCGAAGGCGGGUCUCUGGACAGUUCCUGACACUGAGGCACGAAGGCCAGGGGAGCAAACGGG
rnacentral:rRNA from 1 species